AGCGAACGCUGGCGGCAGGCCUAACACAUGCAAGUCGAACGAACCUUUCGGGGUUAGUGGCGGACGGGUGAGUAACACGUGGGAACGUGCCUUUAGGUCCGGAAUAACUCAGGGAAACUUGUGCUAAUACCGAAUGUGCCCUUCGGGGGAAAGAUUAAUCGCCUUUAGAGCGGCCCGCGUCUGAUUAGCUAGUUGGUUGAGGUAAUGGCUCACCAAGGCGACGAUCAGUAGCUGGUCUGAGAGGAUGAUCAGCCACAUUGGGACUGAGACACGGCCCAAACUCCUACGGGAGGCAGCAGUGGGGAAUCUUGCGCAAUGGGCGAAAGCCUGACGCAGCCAUGCCGCGUGAAUGAUGAAGGUCUUAGGAUUGUAAAAUUCUUUCACCGGGGACGAUAAUGACGGUACCCGGAGAAGAAGCCCCGGCUAACUUCGUG
rnacentral:rRNA from 1 species